rnacentral:lncRNA from 1 species
CCCUCCUCACCUGUCUCCUCCUUCCUCACCUCCUCCACCUUUUUUUUACGGUGUGGAUUCACCCCACCACCAUUGCCACCUCCUCCACCGAACUCACCCUACACUGCCACCACUUUCUCUCUAUCUUUUCCGUCGCCGCCACCACUAGCCUCCCCUCCUCACCCAUUUCUUCCUUCACCUUCGGACUCUACCAACCAUUGCGCUAUCCCCUUCUCCAUCGAACUCACCCCGC